rnacentral:rRNA from 1 species
GUGGGGAAUAUUGGACAAUGGGGGGAACCCUGAUCCAGCCAUGCCGCGUGUGUGAAGAAGGCCUUUUGGUUGUAAAGCACUUUAAGCGAGGAGGAGGCUACCGAGAUUAAUACUCUUGGAUAGUGGACGUUACUCGCAGAAUAAGCACCGGCUAACUCUGUGCCAGCAGCCGCGGUAAUACAGAGGGUGCAAGCGUUAAUCGGAUUUACUGGGCGUAAAGCGCGCGUAGGUGGACAAUUAAGUCAAAUGUGAAAUCCCCGAGCUUAACUUGGGAAUUGCAUUCGAUACUGGUUGGCUAGAGUAUGGGAGAGGAUGGUAGAAUUCCAGGUGUAGCGGUGAAAUGCGUAGAGAUCUGGAGGAAUACCGAUGGCGAAGGCAGCCAUCUGGCCUAAUACUGACACUGAGGUGCGAAAGCAUGGGGAGCAAACAGGAUUAGAUACCCCAGUAGUCC